UGUUCUCAGUUCGGACUGCAGUCUGCAACUCGACUGCACGAAGCUGGAAUCGCUAGUAAUCGCGGAUCAGCACGCCGCGGUGAAUACGUUCCCGGGCCUUGUACACACCGCCCGUCACACCAUGGAAGUCUGCAAUGCCCGAAGCCGGUGGCCUAACCACUUAUGUGGAAGGAGCCGUCUAAGGCAGGGCAGAUGACUGGGGUGAAGUCGUAACAAGGUACC
rnacentral:rRNA from 1 species